rnacentral:rRNA from 1 species
AACGAACGCUGGCGGCGUGCCUAACACAUGCAAGUCGAGCGGGAAAGUUCCCUUCGGGAGCGAGUACAGCGGCGCACGGGUGAGUAACACGUAGGUAACCUACCUUGGAGACCGGGAUAACCUGCCGAAAGGCGGGCUAAUACCGGAUGAGACCACGAGGGCUGCGGCCCUUGAGGAAAAAGAUGGCCUCUACUUGUAAGCUAUCACUCCGGGAUGGGCCUGCGCGCCAUUAGCCAGUUGGGAGGUAACGGCUCACCAAGGCCGAGAUGGCUAGCUGGUCUGAGAGGAUGGCCAGCCACACUGGGACUGAGACACGGCCCAGACUCCUACGGGAGGCAGCAGUGGGGAAUAUUGCGCAAUGGGCGAAAGCCUGACGCAGCGACGCCGC